rnacentral:rRNA from 1 species
CAGUAGCCGCGGUAAAACGAAGGGUGCAAGCGUUAAUCGGAAUUACUGGGCGUAAAGCGUGCGUAGGCGGUGAGUUAAGUCUGCUGUGAAAUCCCCGGGCUCAACCUGGGAAUGGCAGUGGAUACUGGCUCGCUAGAGUGUGUCAGAGGAUGGUGGAAUUCCCGGUGUAGCGGUGAAAUGCGUAGAGAUCGGGAGGAACAUCAGUGGCGAAGGCGGCCAUCUGGGACAACACUGACGCUGAGGCACGAAAGCGUGGGGAGCAAACAGGAUUAGAUACUCGCGUAGUCCCUGUCUCUUAUAC